rnacentral:rRNA from 1 species
AGCAGCCGCGGUAAUUCCAGCUCCAAUAGCGUAUAUUAAAGUUGUUGCAGUUAAAAAGCUCGUAGUUGAAUUUCGGGAUUAGUAAGUUGGUCGUGCCUCUGGUAUGUACUGGCUUUACUGGUUCCUCCUUCUUGAAGAACUGUAAUGUCAUUAAUUUGGUGUUGCAGGGAAACAGGACUGUUACUUUGAAAAAAUUAGAGUGUUUAAAGCAAGCUAACGCUUGAAUACAUUAGCAUGGAAUAAUGAAAUAGGACGUUUGAUCCUAUUUUGUUGGUUUCUAGGAUUGACGUAAUGAUUAAUAGGGAUAGUUGGGGGCAUUAGUAUUCAAUUGUCAGAGGUGAAAUUCUUGGAUUUAUUGAAGACUAACUACUGCGAAAGCAUUUGCCAAGGAUGUUUUCAUUAAUCAAGAACGAAAGUUAGGGGAUCGAAGACGAUCAGAUACCGUCGUAGUCUUAACCAUAAACUAUGCCGACUAGGGAUCGGAUGAUGUUAAUUUUUUAAUGACUCAUUCGGCGCCUUACG